GACCUUGUUGACUAAUGGGUAAGGCGUCGGCCUCCCGAGCCGAAGAUUGUUGGUUCGAGUCCCAUCAAGGUCG
rnacentral:tRNA from 1 species